rnacentral:rRNA from 1 species
GACAGAGGUGCCGAGCGUUAGGCGGAAUCACUGGGCUUAAAGCGUGUGUAGGCGGAUGCCUAAGUACCUUGUGAAAUCCCACGGCUUAACCGUGGAACUGCUCGGUAUACUGGGUGUCUUGAGCCACUUAGGGGCGACCGGAACAAACGGUGGAGCGGUGAAAUGCGUAGAUAUCGUUUGGAACGCCAAUGGUGAAAACAGGUCGCUGGGAGUGUGCUGACGCUGAGACACGAAAGCCAGGGGAGCGAACGGG